AAACUACUACGAGUGAAAACUUAAAACUUAAAAGACUUGACGGUACUUCACAUUCAACCUAGAGGAGCCUGUCUACUAACCGAUAACCCACGAUUAACCCAACCCCUUCUGGCCACCCAGCCUAUAUACCGCCGUCGCCAGUCCACCUUGUAAAAGAAACUAAGUGGGCUCAACAGUAUCACACUAACACGACAGGUCGAGGUGUAGCUUAUGAAGCGGACUAAGAUGGGCUACAUUUUCUAACCUAGACCACACGGACAAAGCCAUGAAACCAACUCCACAAGGCGGAUUUAGCAGUAAGUUAGAGACAUAAUAUCUGACUGAAACCAAUGCAAUGAAGUGCGU
rnacentral:rRNA from 1 species